UAACUAUUUUUUCAUAUUUUUUUAUGAGACACAUACAAAUUUUUUUGACUUAUACGUCUUACAAGUUGGCACAAAUCCAACAAAACACACGCAUUACACUCUCACGUUCAAGAGUAAAUAAACGCACAUUAUUCAACCACUUCCUGUAUCUAAAGCGCACUACUCACCAUGCAUUAUGAACGAUUCUUCUUCUUCUUCCUCCAUGAAAACGAGUUUCUUGCCAAAUUUGAAGAUAAUGGAACUUCAGAAAUACACCCAAAUCAUUACAUAAAUACAUCCAAAGGAUUACAAAAAUACACCCAAAUGGUUAUAGGAAUUCACCAAACGAUUAUAGAAAUACACCCAAAGGAUUACAGAAAUACACCCAAAGAAUUACAAAAUUACACCCAAAGGAUUUAAGAAAUACACCCAAAAUUCGUUGAAGUACACCUUAUGCAUAAUUCAGAACUCUUUCUCUUUCUCCUCCUUAUCUUCUGCUUCUUCUUCUUCUUAAAAAACGAUUUCAGAGCUUGAUGUCAAAAAACAAUGGAAAUCAAAAAUAACGAAGAAAGAAAAUAGAGAGAAAAGCAUGCAAAUGAAGAAGGAGAAAGAGAAGGCAAGAAACGAAAGAAAAAAAAAAGAAAAAGAAGCAGAGGAAGAGGAAGAACGUGCAGCAAGAAGAAGAAGAAGGUACGGUGCAAUGAAAACGUGCAGUAACAAUUCGAAGUGUGUUAAUAUAAAUGACUUGUAAAAACUUGUAUAAAAAAAAGCUUGUAUAUGAAGAAUUAUUUUUUUUAUACAACUGUCAUCCUAAUAGUAUUCAUACAUUAAUAACACUUUACUCAUGUGAUACCUAAGCAUUGUUUAGUUGGGAUAAAAGAAACUACUUUCUUUUGUCUUUCUAUUUUUAUUUUUUUUAAUACAAAAAAAUUAUGUCUUGAAAGAAAACUAUAAUUUUCUCCAAAUUUAUGUUUUCUCCUAAGAUUCAAAUGACCAAAAUUAAAAAACAACAGAGUAUAAACAACAUAAAUACUCGGUAGAUACAUGAAAUUAAAUUAUCAUUUCUUACCUUUUCUAAUGAAUAGAUCUUCAUUCAUUUAUGUUCUUACAAAUUUAACCAAAUAAAUUCAAGUCCACAAAUUAAACUUGGAUAAAGAAAAAAAGAGAACUUAUUAUUAUAACACAAUUAUUUAACAUAUACUUAAAAUUAUUUUCAUGAUGAGCUCAAAGGAGUUAUAAAAUUAUUGUGUUCGUCGUAAAAUAUGUAAAAAAAUUGAAGUUAAUAGGCAGAAACUUUGUAUAUCAAAUAAUCAACAAGCACUUCCAAGUUUGUAGCCUCAAAAAAUUAAUAUUCAACUUUAACAAUCACAAUAUAUACACUAUAUAUAUAUAUAACAACAACAGAAAAAUAAAUUUGAGUAUUGAACAAAAAAACGGCUUACAUUAUCUAUUCAAUGAACCAAAACUCACUGAUGAUCAUGUAAGCUUCUUGAAAUUCAUGAUUCAGAAGAGUGAUCUCUGUCUUCUCUCUCUAAACUUGAGACCCUUUUGGAGAAAGAAAAGAAAAUGAUGAAGUCCAAAAGUUUUGCUUUGAUGGCUUGAUGUUCCUGUUGAUGGAUGAUGAUGAUCUUUUGGUGCUGGAAAUUUCUUCCUUUGGAUCUCUUAGAAUACAAACAUUUCCAUCACAUUU
rnacentral:lncRNA from 1 species